UUAAGCGACUAAGCGUACACGGUGGAUGCCCUGGCAGUCAGAGGCGAUGAAGGACGUGCUAAUCUGCGAUAAGCGUCGGUAAGGUGAUAUGAACCGUUAUAACCGGCGAUUUCCGAAUGGGGAAACCCAGUGUGUUUCGACACACUAUCAUUAACUGAAUCCAUAGGUUAAUGAGGCGAACCGGGGGAACUGAAACAUCUAAGUACCCCGAGGAAAAGAAAUCAACCGAGAUUCCCCCAGUAGCGGCGAGCGAACGGGGAGCAGCCCAGAGCCUGAAUCAGUGUGUGUGUUAGUGGAAGCGUCUGGAAAGGCGCGCGAUACAGGGUGACAGCCCCGUACACAAAAAUGCACAUGCUGUGAGCUCGAUGAGUAGGGCGGGACACGUGGUAUCCUGUCUGAAUAUGGGGGGACCAUCCUCCAAGGCUAAAUACUCCUGACUGACCGAUAGUGAACCAGUACCGUGAGGGAAAGGCGAAAAGAACCCCGGCGAGGGGAGUGAAAAAGAACCUGAAACCGUGUACGUACAAGCAGUGGGAGCACGCUUAGGCGUGUGACUGCGUACCUUUUGUAUAAUGGGUCAGCGACUUAUAUUCUGUAGCAAGGUUAACCGAAUAGGGGAGCCGAAGGGAAACCGAGUCUUAACUGGGCGUUAAGUUGCAGGGUAUAGACCCGAAACCCGGUGAUCUAGCCAUGGGCAGGUUGAAGGUUGGGUAACACUAACUGGAGGACCGAACCGACUAAUGUUGAAAAAUUAGCGGAUGACUUGUGGCUGGGGGUGAAAGGCCAAUCAAACCGGGAGAUAGCUGGUUCUCCCCGAAAGCUAUUUAGGUAGCGCCUCGUGAAUUCAUCUCCGGGGGUAGAGCACUGUUUCGGCAAGGGGGUCAUCCCGACUUACCAACCCGAUGCAAACUGCGAAUACCGGAGAAUGUUAUCACGGGAGACACACGGCGGGUGCUAACGUCCGUCGUGAAGAGGGAAACAACCCAGACCGCCAGCUAAGGUCCCAAAGUCAUGGUUAAGUGGGAAACGAUGUGGGAAGGCCCAGACAGCCAGGAUGUUGGCUUAGAAGCAGCCAUCAUUUAAAGAAAGCGUAAUAGCUCACUGGUCGAGUCGGCCUGCGCGGAAGAUGUAACGGGGCUAAACCAUGCACCGAAGCUGCGGCAGCGACGCUUAUGCGUUGUUGGGUAGGGGAGCGUUCUGUAAGCCUGUGAAGGUGUGCUGUGAGGCAUGCUGGAGGUAUCAGAAGUGCGAAUGCUGACAUAAGUAACGAUAAAGCGGGUGAAAAGCCCGCUCGCCGGAAGACCAAGGGUUCCUGUCCAACGUUAAUCGGGGCAGGGUGAGUCGACCCCUAAGGCGAGGCCGAAAGGCGUAGUCGAUGGGAAACAGGUUAAUAUUCCUGUACUUGGUGUUACUGCGAAGGGGGGACGGAGAAGGCUAUGUUGGCCGGGCGACGGUUGUCCCGGUUUAAGCGUGUAGGCUGGUUUUCCAGGCAAAUCCGGAAAAUCAAGGCUGAGGCGUGAUGACGAGGCACUACGGUGCUGAAGCAACAAAUGCCCUGCUUCCAGGAAAAGCCUCUAAGCAUCAGGUAACAUCAAAUCGUACCCCAAACCGACACAGGUGGUCAGGUAGAGAAUACCAAGGCGCUUGAGAGAACUCGGGUGAAGGAACUAGGCAAAAUGGUGCCGUAACUUCGGGAGAAGGCACGCUGAUAUGUAGGUGAAGUCCCUCGCGGAUGGAGCUGAAAUCAGUCGAAGAUACCAGCUGGCUGCAACUGUUUAUUAAAAACACAGCACUGUGCAAACACGAAAGUGGACGUAUACGGUGUGACGCCUGCCCGGUGCCGGAAGGUUAAUUGAUGGGGUCAGCGCAAGCGAAGCUCUUGAUCGAAGCCCCGGUAAACGGCGGCCGUAACUAUAACGGUCCUAAGGUAGCGAAAUUCCUUGUCGGGUAAGUUCCGACCUGCACGAAUGGCGUAAUGAUGGCCAGGCUGUCUCCACCCGAGACUCAGUGAAAUUGAACUCGCUGUGAAGAUGCAGUGUACCCGCGGCAAGACGGAAAGACCCCGUGAACCUUUACUAUAGCUUGACACUGAACAUUGAGCCUUGAUGUGUAGGAUAGGUGGGAGGCUUUGAAGUGUGGACGCCAGUCUGCAUGGAGCCGACCUUGAAAUACCACCCUUUAAUGUUUGAUGUUCUAACGUUGACCCGUGAUCCGGGUUGCGGACAGUGUCUGGUGGGUAGUUUGACUGGGGCGGUCUCCUCCUAAAGAGUAACGGAGGAGCACGAAGGUUGGCUAAUCCUGGUCGGACAUCAGGAGGUUAGUGCAAUGGCAUAAGCCAGCUUGACUGCGAGCGUGACGGCGCGAGCAGGUGCGAAAGCAGGUCAUAGUGAUCCGGUGGUUCUGAAUGGAAGGGCCAUCGCUCAACGGAUAAAAGGUACUCCGGGGAUAACAGGCUGAUACCGCCCAAGAGUUCAUAUCGACGGCGGUGUUUGGCACCUCGAUGUCGGCUCAUCACAUCCUGGGGCUGAAGUAGGUCCCAAGGGUAUGGCUGUUCGCCAUUUAAAGUGGUACGCGAGCUGGGUUUAGAACGUCGUGAGACAGUUCGGUCCCUAUCUGCCGUGGGCGCUGGAGAAUUGAGGGGGGCUGCUCCUAGUACGAGAGGACCGGAGUGGACGCAUCACUGGUGUUCGGGUUGUCAUGCCAAUGGCACUGCCCGGUAGCUAAAUGCGGAAGAGAUAAGUGCUGAAAGCAUCUAAGCACGAAACUUGCCCCGAGAUGAGUUCUCCCUGACCCUUUAAGGGUCCUGAAGGAACGUUGAAGACGACGACGUUGAUAGGCCGGGUGUGUAAGCGCAGCGAUGCGUUGAGCUAACCGGUACUAAUGAACCGUGAGGCUUAACCUU
rnacentral:rRNA from 1 species